ACCCUCAGAUUCCCUUUCCCAUCGGAUCUGAAUCUGGUCUUGGUGGUCGCACGAGGAGUGAAAGGAACACUGAAGCCCGGCCCCUGGUGGCGUAGCCUGGCUGCACCCUUGCGCUGGUUUCAGACACAC
ensembl:snoRNA